UANGGNCCUUCGGGGUACACGAGUGGCGAACGGGUGAGUAACACGUGGGUGAUCUGCCCUGCACUUUGGGAUAAGCCUGGGAAACUGGGUCUAAUACCGAAUACACCCUGCUGGUCGCAUGGCCUGGUGGGGGAAAGCUUUUGCGGUGUGGGAUGGGCCCGCGGCCUAUCAGCUUGUUGGUGGGGUGAUGGCCUACCAAGGCGACGACGGGUAGCCGGCCUGAGAGGGUGACCGGCCACACUGGGACUGAGAUACGGCCCAGACUCCUACGGGAGGCAGCAGUGGGGAAUAUUGCACAAUGGGCGCAAGCCUGAUGCAGCGACGCCGCGUGAGGGAUGACGGCCUUCGGGUUGUAAACCUCUUUCAAUAGGGACGAAGCGCAAGUGACGGUACCUAUAGAAGAAGGACCGGCCAACUACGUGCCAGCAGCCGCGGUAAUACGUAGGGUCCGAGCGUUGUCCGGAAUUACUGGGCGUAAAGAGCUCGUAGGUGGUUUGUCGCGUUGUUCGUGAAAACCCACAGCUUAACUGUGGGCGUGCGGGCGAUACGGGCAGACUUGAGUACUGCAGGGGAGACUGGAAUUCCUGGUGUAGCGGUGGAAUGCGCAGAUAUCAGGAGGAACACCGGUGGCGAAGGCGGGUCUCUGGGCAGUAACUGACGCUGAGGAGCGAAAGCGUGGGGAGCGAACAGGAUUAGAUACCCUGGUAGUCCACGCCGUAAACGGUGGGUACUAGGUGUGGGUUUCCUUCCUUGGGAUCCGUGCCGUANCUAACGCAUUAAGUACCCCGCCUGGGGAGUACGGNCGCAAGGCUAAAACUCAAAGGAAUUGACGGGGGCCCGCACAAGCGGCGGANCAUGUGGANUAAUUCGAUGCAACGCGAANAACCUUACCUGGGUUUGACAUGCACAGGACGCCGGCAGANAUGUCGGUUCCCUUGUGGCCUGUGUGCAGGUGGUGCAU
rnacentral:rRNA from 1 species